CACCAAGUUCAUAAUGUCCUGUUAUAGAAUAUUGAAAUGUCAAUCCUCUACUCUCGAGUACUUCCUAGCUAUCUGCUUGCACCUCUGCAAGCCGAAGUGACUCUUUCAAACACACUGGAUCUCAUUCAUCAGCCUGAAUGUGCUCUUUAUUUUAUUUGUUUUAACAAUCAAUGACUUAGUCAGGCAUGGGAAGCCCCAUCUCACACAUGAAUGUGGCUUAGUAACCUCUGAGCUGGAGCCCCGCGGUGGAGAAAUCACUGCCCUGCAGCAUUGGGCACCAUGCCAGGCAGCCAACUUUUUCAAGAAAUCUCUCCCAGUCAUUUAAGGAGUCUUUCACCAUAAAACACAGGCUCUCCAAGAGCUUGACUGUUAGAUACAGCUUGAGGAGGGAUCCAACAGUGUGGCUGUGCCUUUAGAAUACCGGAAAAAAAAAAAAAAAAAAAAAGCUGAUUGUGCCCAGGGUGUGAGACCAUCAGCAGACUCAAAUACAGUCUUUUUCUUCCCUGUGUCUGGAGCUUCCAAGACUCCCUCUUUCUGCACUUUAAGUAAUAUGAAUCCUUCUGAGCAGUGCCCACCAGCAGUGGUAACUGUACCUGCCAUCAGGCAUCCCCAACACAACAUAGGGAAGAUAUAGGUUGCUUACCCCAACUCUAGGCUAUCUGGAAGGCCUUCUAGUUUGCUGGGCUGGCUUAGCCUCAUCUAGGAUUAAAGAAUGAGGAACCUGUGCUCUGAUGCACAACAGUCAUGAGCAUGCAGCUUCACCUACUGUAGUGAGUAGCAGCUGGAGUCAGCACAUGAGAUAGUACUAGAGUCAGCCUGCAGGGCCAGGGCAAUAAUCCAGAGGGUAAACUUCAACACAAUUCACCGAGGGAGGCUAAAAGGGGACACCAUGAGAAGGGGGCAUCAUCUGUGUGAUUGCACAGUGGUGACUGCACAAAAGUCACCAAGAAAGAACAGCUCCCUGGCUCCCAAGAGAAGGACUUGGAGCAUGAGCCAGGCUCCGGGGACAUCAAAGCAGAAGAUACAAUCUAGGCGUGGAUGACUUCACACCCAUUUCUCACACAGGCCUGGCACUAGACACAAGAAUCAUCAAGCAUGUAUCUGGGAACAGGCUGCAGCUGCUGAUGCAGUGAAAUCGAAAGGGGAACUGAGAAAUCUUGGCAGGCUCCUGAUCUGCCACUUCUGCACAGAACACACCUUACCAGCCACCUGCCUGACCCACUUCCACAAUCUGACUAGUCAUUUCUGAGUCUACCUUCAGCCCCAGAGGCUGUAUGUACAUCCAAGGCUCACCAGUUGUGGAAUGAAGGAGGGAAGGGGAGCUUGCCACAUUGAAGGAGGUGCUGAGAGGGAACAGCACAGCCAGAAUGCAUGCCAGCCCUGGGCUGCUAUCACAACCAGUCAGAAGCCAGGAGCACAAGUGGCACCCACAUGACAGAGAACCAGAAGUGCCAGGGAUCCAUUUGGCAUCCUAAACCCAAGUGACUCUGUGGAGGACUCUCCAUGGAAAAGACCUUGCCUGGGUGGAUGAUACAAGCUUCAGUUUUGGGCAGAAGCCAAUAUGGAUGACUGUACCCCAAAAUCUUGACCUUGUGGGCAGGGGAGAGGAGACAAUUACACCCCUAUCCCCAUGUCCGGGUGCUAUGUCCAUAACAAGGCUAAAUCCACAAACCAAGAGAGGGCUUGUCCUCUGCACUGUACAGUCAGGUGAACAGAGGGGACAGGAAUUCAAAUUACAAGCUCCCCCUGUGUCUACAUGGCAAAGAGAGCUGUAUAAUCAGG
rnacentral:lncRNA from 1 species